UACAGGGGGGGCAAGCGUUGUUCGGAAUUACUGGGCGUAAAGGGCUCGUAGGCGGCCAACUAAGUCACACGUGAAAUCCCCAGGCUUAACCUGGGAACUGCGUGUGAUACUGGAUGGCUUGAAUCCGGGAGAGGGAUGCGGAAUUCCAGGUGUAGCGGUGAAAUGCGUAGAUAUCUGGAGGAACACCGGUGGCGAAGGCGGCAUCCUGGACCGGUAUUGACGCUGAGGAGCGAAAGCCAGGGGAGCAAACGGG
rnacentral:rRNA from 1 species